rnacentral:rRNA from 1 species
CGUUCCCGGGCCUUGUACACACCGCCCGUCACACCACGAAAGUCGGCAAUACCCGAAGCCGGUGGCCUAACCCGCAAGGAGGGAGCCGUCGAAGGUAGGGUCGAUGAUUGGGGUG